rnacentral:rRNA from 1 species
AGGAUUAACGCUGGCGGCGUGCCUGACACAUGCAAGUCGAACGAGGCCGCAAGGCCGAGUGGCGGACGGGUGAGUAACACGUGACCAACCAACCUCGAAGUUGGGAAUAGCUCUGCGAAAGUAGGGGUAAUACCGAAUGUGGCCCAGGGCGGGCAUCCGCCUUGGUCUAAAGAUUCAUCGCUUCGAGACGGGGUCGCGGCCUAUUAGCUUGUUGGUGAGGUAACGGCUCACCAAGGCGAUGAUGGGUAGCUGGUCUGAGAGGACGACCAGCCACACUGGGACUGAGACACGGCCCAGACUCCUACGGGAGGCAGCAGUGAGGAAUCUUCCGCAAUGGGCGAAAGCCUGACGGAGCAACGCCGCGUGUGGGAUGAAGACUCUAGGGUUGUAAACCACUGUCGGAGGGGACGAUCGUGACGGUACCCUCCAAGAAACGCCCCGGCUAACUACGUGCCAGCAGCCGC